ACGCCGGCCUCCUGAGAGCCCUCUAGUGAGCUUCCUCUACCCUUCUACCCACCCCACCGCAGCCAGGUUCCUAUCCAGACUCCCCGAUCCUGGGCUGGAGGGCGUCCUCGCCCUGUCAGUACUCUGCUUCAGCAACUGUACCUGCCGCUGACUGGGGGAACACAGGAGAAGGAGAAAGGGAAACAGGGUUUGGGGAGCACCGCGCAGCAGGAUGACGGGCCUCGCCCCGCGCUGCGGGCCCCGGCAGCCCUAGAGCCGCCCGCCCCCCGGCUGCCGCACCGAUGCGCUGUCCGCGGUGCUGACGCCGGCCGCCUGCUAGGUUGGGAAGGGGAGGAGACUCCCUCACUCCCGGGUCUCCAAGAGCCGAGUGACCCCACCCCCAUUCCUUCCCAGGCGGGAUCAUUUCUGCAAAGGAACCCUCAGAGACCUAGCGCUGCGGAAGGAUCCAGGAAGAAGAGGGAACUUAAACUUCGGUUGCAGCCCAAGAACCGGGUGUCGGGGGAUUCGCGUUGUGUGGCCCCCAACGCCCUGCGACCUCAGGGCACCACCAAGUUGAGCAAAGUUUGGCGGCAGCUUGGAGAUAAGAAAGGGAUUCCGAAGCCGAAGCUCAGGGAGGGGACGGACGGGGUUCCCCGACAGGGUGGUAGCCAGCACCGCAAUCCGGACACCUGCUUCGGUGCCCCGCAUUUAAUGCCGCCGGAACGACUGGGAGACGUCGCAGCAGCCCAACUCCCCACCCCUUCCCUCCCAUCCUUAUCUCCCCCCCCCCCCCCCCCCCCCGCCUUCAACACCCCGCCCCGGGCGCCGGUGACUCCGCCUCUCCGUGCCGGGCGGCUCUCCGGCUGGAGCUGGAAAGGGAGCGCUUCCCGGGACUCGGCUCGGUUCUGAGGCUCCGAAGCCGACGCCGCCGGCUCAGGCCCGGGGGUGGGAGCUGGACUGCCGGUGCAGCCUGAGCCUGGGAGCCGCCAAGCAGGGAACGCCUCAUGGGACGACCCCAGGGGCUCUCUUCGUGCCCUGCUGCGGCGUCCCAGUCUUAGGCUCCCGGGUUCCCCAGCCCGCCCCGCCCGCAGCCCGCGGCCUGUCUGGAGAAGAGUAUGAGGCCCGGGGCCCCGCGGACGCCGGCCACAGGGCGGCAGGGGCCUAGCUUCAGACCCCCGCGCCCGAGGGUGGCUGGUGAGGAGCCGCGGGAGCCGGCGAGGCGUCGGGGCGCGGAGAGGAGCGUCCCAGCCCGGGAACCCCAAGGGCCGCGGGACCCGUGUGCGGCCUGAGUGCCAAGGAGGAGGCGGAGGCGAGGCGCCCCGCCGUCCGGGCUCUGGGAGAAGCGGCAAGGGGCUCCGCGGCGGCCCCCGACCCCUGGCCACCAUCCUCACGCUUCUGCUCCCGCGGGGGGGAUGUCGCGGCCCGGGCCCCGAGCGCCGCCCCGGCC
rnacentral:lncRNA from 1 species